GCCGCCUCUCGUGCGCUCUCCCUUCCUCUAGCGUCUCUUCACCUCAAGCCCGCAGACGUCAAGAUGGCGAUGGCGAAGUUAUCCGACAAGGUGUAUGAGUUCGAGACCAUAGAUGUAAAGCCAGAAUUCUACAAUCCGAACCCUAAAUCAGCCGUUUCAACAAGGUGUGGCAUGAGAAGCACCCGGAGUAUCCGCUCGUGGCGCAGUGGUCCGGUCCCCGAUGCCGGCGACGCACUCAAGCUGAUUAGCCUGUACGAGUUCCAGAGCCACAAAAAAGAGGUGCCGAGCUGCGGUAAGAA